UUGCAAGUCGAACGGCAGCGGCGGGAGCAAUCCUGGCGGCGAGUGGCGAACGGGUGAGAAAUACAUCGGAACGUGCCCAAUCGUGGGGGAUAACGCAGCGAAAGCUGUGCUAAUACCGCAUACGAUCUACGGAUGAAAGCAGGGGACCGCAAGGCCUUGCGCGAAUGGAGCGGCCGAUGGCAGAUUAGGUAGUUGGUGAGGUAAAGGCUCACCAAGCCUUCGAUCUGUAGCUGGUCUGAGAGGACGACCAGCCACACUGGGACUGAGACACGGCCCAGACUCCUACGGGAGGCAGCAGUGGGGAAUUUUGGACAAUGGGCGCAAGCCUGAUCCAGCCAUGCCGCGUGCAGGAUGAAGGCCUUCGGGUUGUAAACUGCUUUUGUACGGAACGAAACGGCCUUUUCUAAUAAAGAGGGCUAAUGACGGUACCGUAAGAAUAAGCACCGGCUAACUACGUGCCAGCAGCCGCGGUAAUACGUAGGGUGCAAGCGUUAAUCGGAAUUACUGGGCGUAAAGCGUGCGCAGGCGGUGAUGUAAGACAGUUGUGAAAUCCCCGGGCUCAACCUGGGAACUGCAUCUGUGACUGCAUCGCUGGAGUACGGCAGAGGGGGAUGGAAUUCCGCGUGUAGCAGUGAAAUGCGUAGAUAUGCGGAGGAACACCGAUGGCGAAGGCAAUCCCCUGGGCCUGUACUG
rnacentral:rRNA from 2 species